rnacentral:rRNA from 1 species
AUUGAACGCUGGCGGCAGGCCUAACACAUGCAAGUCGAGCGGAUGAAGGGAGCUUGCUCCUGGAUUCAGCGGCGGACGGGUGAGUAAUGCCUAGGAAUCUGCCUGGUAGUGGGGGAUAACGUCCGGAAACGGGCGCUAAUACCGCAUACGUCCUGAGGGAGAAAGUGGGGGAUCUUCGGACCUCACGCUAUCAGAUGAGCCUAGGUCGGAUUAGCUAGUUGGUGGGGUAAAGGCCUACCAAGGCGACGAUCCGUAACUGGUCUGAGAGGAUGAUCAGUCACACUGGAACUGAGACACGGUCCAGACUCCGACGGGAGGCAGCAGUGGGGAAUAUUGGACAAUGGGCGAAAGCCUGAUCCAGCCAUGCCGCGUGUGUGAAGAAGGUCUUCGGAUUGUAAAGCACUUUAAGUUGGGAGGAAGGGCAGUAAGUUAAGACCUUGCUGUUUGGACGUGACCAACAGAAUAAGCACCGGCUAACUGCGG